rnacentral:rRNA from 1 species
CCCUUAGAUGUUCUGGGCCGCACGCGCGCUACACUGACUACUUCAACGGGUUGUUUCCUUGAUCGAAAGGUCUGGGUAAUCUUUGAAAGGUAGUCGUGAUGGGGAUAGAUCCUUGCAAUUUUUGAUCUUCAACGAGGAAUUCCUAGUAAACGCAAGUCAUCAGCUUGCAUUGAUUACGUCCCUGCCCUUUGUACACACCGCCCGUCGCACCUACCGAUUGAAUGGUCCGGUGAAUCUUUAGGACUGUGGCUGAGGCCUUGCCUUGUGCGGGUCUGGCCGUGGGAAUUUAGUUAAACCUUACCAUUUAGAGGAAGGUGAAGUCGUAACA